rnacentral:rRNA from 1 species
ACCGAGCGGAUGAGUUGCGAACGGGUGAGUAACGCGUAGGUAACCUGCCUCUUAGCGGGGGAUAACUAUUGGAAACGAUAGCUAAUACCGCAUAAAAGUCGAUAUCGCAUGAUAUUGAUUUGAAAGGUGCAAUUGCAUCACUAAGAGAUGGACCUGCGUUGUAUUAGCUAGUUGGUGAGGUAACGGCUCACCAAGGCGACGAUACAUAGCCGACCUGAGAGGGUGAUCGGCCACACUGGGACUGAGACACGGCCCAGACUCC